AGCUGUCUCUUUUGCGUGGUUUGAAUUUAACCUUUGAGUGAAAAGGCUCAAAUUUCUUAGUGGGACGAUAAGACCCUAUAAAACUUAAUAUAAGUUAAAUUGGAUUUGUGAUUUCAGUAAAAAGUGGUCCUUUUAAGUUUAUAUUUCGUUGGGGAGAUGUAGAUAUAAUGUGUAACUGUUUAUAAAACUAAAUAAUCAUAAUUAGUUUGUGAUCCUGCAGAUGUGGAUUGAAAGAGUAAGUUACUUUAGGGAUAACAGCGUAAUUUUCUUUGAGAGUUCUGAUCGACAAGAGUAGUUGCGACCUAGAUUCUGAGUAGACC
rnacentral:rRNA from 1 species